rnacentral:rRNA from 1 species
AAUAUUGCACAAUGGAGGGAACUCUGAUGCAGCAACGCCGCGUGAGUGAAGAAGGUUUUCGGAUCGUAAAACUCUGUCAUUGGGGAAGAAUAAAUGACGGUACCCAAUGAGGAAGCCCCGGCUAACUACGUGCCAGCAGCCGCGGUAAUACGUAGGGGGCAAGCGUUGUCCGGAAUUACUGGGCGUAAAGGGUGCGCAGGCGGCCGAUUAAGUCAGAUGUGAAAUCCCACGGCUUAACCGUGGUAAGCAUUUGAAACUGAUUGGCUUGAGUUAAGGAGAGGAAAGUGGAAUUCCUAGUGUAGCGGUGAAAUGCGUAGAUAUUAGGAGGAAUACCAGUGGCGAAGGCGACUUUCUGGACUUAUACUGACGCUGAGGAACGAAAGCGUGGGGAGCAAACA